UGUUCCUAUAUAUCUGUCCACUU
rnacentral:miRNA from 1 species